rnacentral:rRNA from 1 species
CCUACGGGUGGCAGCAGUGGGGAAUAUUGGACAAUGGGGGGAACCCUGAUCCAGCCAUGCCGCGUGUGUGAAGAAGGCCCUCGGGUUGUAAAGCACUUUCAGUGAGGAAGAACGCCUGGUGGUUAAUACCCAUCAGGAAAGACAUCACUCACAGAAGAAGCACCGGCUAACUCCGUGCCAGCAGCCGCGGUAAUACGGAGGGUGCGAGCGUUAAUCGGAAUUACUGGGCGUAAAGCGCGCGUAGGUGGCUUGAUAAGCCGGUUGGGAAAGCCCCGGGCUCAACCUGGGAACGGCAUCCGGAACUGUCAAGCUAGAGUGCAGGAGAGGAAGGUAGAAUUCCCGGUGUAGCGGUGAAAUGCGUAGAGAUCGGGAGGAAUACCAGUGGCGAAGGCGGCCUUCUGGACUGACACUGACACUGAGGUGCGAAAGCGUGGGUAGCAAACAGGAUUAGAUACCCCGGUAGUC